rnacentral:rRNA from 1 species
GGAAAUGUUGGGUUAAGUCCCGCAACGAGCGCAACCCUUAUCCUUUGUUGCCAGCGGUUCGGCCGGGAACUCAAAGGAGACUGCCAGUGAUAAACUGGAGGAAGGUGGGGAUGACGUCAAGUCAUCAUGGCCCUUACGAGUAGGGCUACACACGUGCUACAAUGGCGUAUACAAAGAGAAGCGACCUCGCGAGAGCAAGCGGACCUCAUAAAGUACGUCGUAGUCCGGAUUGGAGUCUGCAACUCGACUCCAUGAAGUCGGAAUCGCUAGUAAUCGUAGAUCAGAAUGCUACGGUGAAUACGUUCCCGGG